CUCAGUCAUGUCCGAGUCUUUGUGACCCCACAGGCUGCAGCACGCCAGGCUCCUCUGUCCAUCACCAACUCCCGGCAUUUAAUCAAACUCAGGUCCAUUGAGUCGGUGAUGCCAUCCAACCUUCUCAUCCUCUUUCGUCCCCUUCUUCUCCCGCCUUUAAUCUUUCCCAGCAUCAGGAUCUUUUCUAAUGAGUCAGCUCUUAAAGGCCAAAGUAUUGAAACUUCACCUUCAACAUCAGUCCUUCCAAUGAACACUCAGGACUGAUCUCCUUUAGGAUGGACUGGUUGUCCUUGCAGUCCAAGGGACUCUCAAGAGUCUUCUCCAGCACCUCAGUUCAAAAGCAUUAAUUCUUCGGUGCUCAGCUUUCUUUAUGGUCCAACUCUCACAUCCAUACAUGACCACUGGAAAAACCAUAGCUUUGACUAGACAAAUCUUUGUUGGCAAAGUAAUGUCUCUGCUUUUUAAUAUGCUGUCUAGGUUGGUCAUAGCUUUUCUUCCAAGGAGCAAGCGUCUUUUAAUUUCAUGGCUGCUGAGGGUGGGCAUCCUCAAAGCUCCAGGAUGCUCCUGGGUGGAGCUUCAAGGAAGUUGGAAGUUCCUCCUGUUUAUUAUUCAUUUACAUUUAAUCCCCCACCCCCCACUGCUGCUCUCAGUACUUAAGCCCCUUUACAAACAAGAUCAAGAUAAAAAGGAAAGAAGAGAAACCAAGUAAAGCCAAAAAGAGUGAUAGGAAAAAAAAAAAAAAAACAGGAAGCCAUAGGUAGGGCUGGUGCACAAAUUAUUGCCCUGAGAUGCCCUUUUUUGGUGUGGUGAUCCCCAGUCUACUUGGCACCAGGGACCAGUUUCCUUGAAGACAACUUUUCCACCGACCUGGGAUGGAGGGGAUGGUUUCGGGAUGAGUCAAGUGCGUUACAUUUUUUGUGCACUUUAUUUCUAUCACAUUAGCUCCACCUCAGAACAUGAGGCAUCAGAUCCUGGGGGCUGAGGACCCCUGUUUUAGUGCAUGGCUGUAAGUUUGGCUCCCAGCUUCCUGGCAGCCGAGGCAAGGAUGGAGAUGAGAUGCCCGUGUUGCAGAAACAAACCGUCACUCCAGAGCAGCCUGACUUCUCACUACAGAGAGGAGACAGCGUCCCCAGGGGAGCCUCAGAAAGGAUGCUGCGGAUGUCCUGGCACCCCCAUAGCGUGUCCCACGUGGCUCCCCAGAAAACAGCUCUCAGUGGAAACGAGGGGCAAGCAGCCUAGGCAUGCUUCAAGAAACGCUAUUUGUUAGCAGGUGGGAUUCGGACUGGCCCAGGAGGGCAGGGGAGCUCUGCAGUGGUGCCCAGGCCUGGCAGAACAUCCUGGAAGCUCAUUCAGGAGCGAGAGCGUGUGAUACUGAAAUUGAUGAGAACCAGCCUCACGGAUUCAUGAGCAUGUCUUCCCUGCGCACGUCCUUGCCUCCAUGACACAUUAAACCGCAGGGAAAGAGCUCCAGGAACCUUUAUUCAGUGCACGGGCUGGGUCAGCCUAUCUAACUAGUGGCCCACAACCCAGCAGGGCGAGAAGGUUUCAGAAGAGGUGGGAGGCCCAAGAGGACUGAAGGCCAUCAGAACCAUGUCAGCGAGGGCCCCAACACUCUGCUUCGGGGCCCUCUAACAAAACAUAGCCCAGGGGACCAAGAGCUGGACAGCCGGACAGGCCUGAGUCCCCAGGCUCUGGGCAGCCUCUGCCCUUUGACCUCAGCUUUGUCUACGGCUCUGGAUGAGGUCAUGACUCAUGUCACUUUGGGGACCUGAAGGCCAUCCCGGCCACACCUCGGCCUGCAUGGUUCUCACGUCCAUCCCUGACUCAGUCAUGAAGGCAGCAGAGGUGGGGGCUACCGGCAGUCCAGCUCUGAUCACCUCCUGUUGGGCUCAGCAUUUCCCAGCCAGAUGACUGUCCCAGAUGGCAGGAAGGUACGCCUCAGAGACUGAGCUGAAAGAAGCUGCCCAGUGACUGACCCUUCACAGGCUUGCACACUCCGCUUGCACACCCCUGGUGAUGGGGAGCUCACUACCCAUCAUGGCACUCUUUUCUGUUGUUAGAAUGUUCUUUCUCUGAUUGAGCUAAGUGCUGCUCCUGCAACUCCCACCGGUGGGCUCUGCUGGACCCCAGGAGGCUGGGGAGAAAAUGCUGGUUCCUCACCUCCAGAAGAAGACUGCAAACACCAGAGGCUGGACCUCACGUUCUUUCUUCUCUUCUUAGUUCCUGUGUGACCCUGGGCCUGAGUUUUCUCUCUUUCUGGAGAAUGAGAAGGAAACCCUCCUGGGGUUCCUAAGGACCAGCAGAGGCAGGAGGCAGAAGGCAGAGCUGUAAGAUGGUCCCCAACAUUCCUGCCCCCGGCGCACACAUCCUUCACACUCUCCUUUAACAUGGGUGGGCCUGGCCUAAUCAGGUGAGCUCUUAAAGGCCCUGGGCCCUUCCUGAAGUCAGACACACAAGUGUAGAGAGACUGGAAGUGUGAGGGACCCAUGGAGGGGGUCACAAGGCAAGGGUCUGGGGUGACCUCUAGGAGCCAAGUGGUCCCCGGCCAACAGCCUGCAAGAUAGUGAGGAUCUCAGUCCUACCCACAAGGAGAGGAAUUCUACCAGCAACCGAAGGGCCUGAAGAUGUUCCCCCUGCUGAGCCUGCAGCCGGGGGCGUGGGCCGCUGAGUGAGGACCAGCUGAAGCGUGCUGGGGUCUUGACCCACAGAGACCAGGAGACGAAGAGGGAACCGAGAGGGUCAGGAACUGUCCAAGGCCACAGCGCAAGCGAGGGAGCUAUAAAGUUGCGAUGGGAACCCAGGCAACGUGCCUCUUCUACAAAAGCUGGUUCAGAACCCGCAGACACUGAGGACUGGACUCAUUUCCUCCAUGUGGGAGCCAUGAAAAGAGUGACCAGUCGCCAUCUGAUGGUCUUGAGGGAAGAGCCUGCCUUGGAAUGGAGCCGCUCGAGGAGAGGAAGUGAGCAGAGGAGAGAAAGCAAGCUGGUCUUGAGCCUGGAUCGUGCCAUGCCUGAAGCUGUUGUUUCUCAGCUGUCAGAUGAUUGAGCCAGUAGAUCCUCUGUAAUGCUGAAGUCAGCUUGACUGAGUUUCCUGUGUUACCUGCAGCUCAGAUUGCUGUUCAGGGGCUCUGCCCAGCCAACCCUGACAAUAAACAAGAACUCAGCCACUUGGUGGGGUUAUGCCACGGAACGGACUGCCUGCCAUGUGCUGGAAGCUGUCUAUUUUACAUCCCCACGAUGAGGUUCCCUUUGCGUGGGCGAGGAUCUGAGACCGAUAGAUCACCGAGCCUUACCCAAGGCUAGGAUUUGAACUUGGGUCUGUCUGACUCCACAGCCUGUGUGGGUUCUCUGCCCCUGGGCAGUCCCUCCCGGGGCACCGCCUGUGAGCUGGAGCCCAGAGCCUGGCCACAGUGGACAUCUGGGGAGGCUCUCCCGUGUGGACCCGCAUCCUGCCAGCCAGCCUGGCAAGUCCACGGGCACUCCUUGGACCGCGCAUGUCAGGGAGUGUUGGCUGGCUGGGGGCAUCCCUGCAGGGGGUGGGAGGGAGCAUAGUGUUGGCGUGAGCCGGCUCCAGGGUGCAGGCGGCUCCUAGCUCAAGUUGUAGGUUCUGCCGCAUCCUUAGCUCACCCCUCCCUCCCCAAACCCGAAUGUCAGUCCCCAUCCCACCCAGUGACUGAGUGGACGCGUAUCCUGCGGCCCCUUCCCAGGACCCCUCACCGCAGGGACUUCCUCUUCCACCCUUCCUUGGGGCCCCCACGCCACAUCCUGGAUCUCAUAUCACCAGAAACUGCUCACCUCUGAAAUCUCAGUUUCUAACCAUCCCCCUUGGUUUUAUUUAUUUUUUUUAGCUGUGGGAUCUUAGUUCCCUGAUCAGAGGUUGAAUCCAUGCCCCCCUGCAGGGGAAGCUUAGAGACUUAACCACUGGACUGACAGGGAAUUUCCCCUAACCUUGGUUUGAAAAAAUAUAUAACAACUUUGUUGGGAUGUGAUUCAUAUGCCAUACAGUUCACCCUUUUGUGGAGUGAAGUUCAGUGGUUUUUUAGCAUUUUCACUAUGUACAGCCAUCACUAGACAGCUUAUUAAAAAGCAGAGACAUCACUUUGC
ensembl:lncRNA